UCUCCGUAGGUGAACCUGCGGAGGGAUCAUUACAGAGUUCAUGCCCUACCGGGUAGAUCUCCCACCCUAUGUUAUUAUUACUGUGUUGCUUUGGCGGGCCGUUAGGCUCCGGCCCGACUACCGGCCCCGGCUGGUAAGCGCCCGCCAGAGGACCCAAAACCCUGAAUAUUAGUGUCGUCUGAGUACUAUAUAAUAGCUAAAACUUUCAACAACGGAUCUCUUGGUUAUG
rnacentral:misc_RNA from 1 species